CCUACGGGGGGCUGCAGUGAGGAAUAUUGGUCAAUGGACGAGAGUCUGAACCAGCCAAGUAGCGUGAAGGAUGACUGCCCUAUGGGUUGUAAACUUCUUUUAUAUGGGAAUAAAAUGUUCCACGUGUGGGAUUUUGUAUGUACCAUAUGAAUAAGGAUCGGCUAACUCCGUGCCAGCAGCCGCGGUAAUACGGAGGAUCCGAGCGUUAUCCGGAUUUAUUGGGUUUAAAGGGAGCGUAGGUGGAGUGUUAAGUCAGUUGUGAAAGUUUGCGGCUCAACCGUAAAAUUGCAGUUGAAACUGGCAGUCUUGAGUACAGUAGAGGUGAGCGGAAUUCGUGGUGUAGCGGUGAAAUGCUUAGAUAUCACGAAGAACUCCGAUGGCGAAGGCAGUUCACUGGACUGCAACUGACACUGAGGCUCGAAAGUGUGGGUAUCAAACAGGAUUAGAUACCCGGGUAGUC
rnacentral:rRNA from 1 species